rnacentral:rRNA from 1 species
GUGGGGAAUUUUGGACAAUGGGCGCAAGCCUGAUCCAGCAAUGCCGCGUGCAGGAAGAAGGCCUUCGGGUUGUAAACUGCUUUUGUACGGAACGAAACGGUCCUGGUUAAUACCUGGGGCUAAUGACGGUACCGUAAGAAUAAGCACCGGCUAACUACGUGCCAGCAGCCGCGGUAAUACGUAGGGUGCAAGCGUUAAUCGGAAUUACUGGGCGUAAAGCGUGCGCAGGCGGUUUUGUAAGACAGACGUGAAAUCCCCGGGCUCAACCUGGGAAUGGCGUUUGUGACUGCAAAGCUGGAGUGCGGCAGAGGGGGAUGGAAUUCCGCGUGUAGCAGUGAAAUGCGUAGAUAUGCGGAGGAACACCGAUGGCGAAGGCAAUCCCCUGGGCCUGCACUGACGCUCAUGCACGAAAGCGUGGGGAGCAAACAGGAUUAGAAACCCGAGUAGUCC